rnacentral:rRNA from 1 species
GAUGAACGCUGGCGGCGUGCUUAACACAUGCAAGUCGAACGGAAAGGCCCAAGCUUGCUUGGGUACUCGAGUGGCGAACGGGUGAGUAACACGUGGGUGAUCUGCCCUGCACUUCGGGAUAAGCCUGGGAAACUGGGUCUAAUACCGGAUAGGACCACAUUUUGGAUGGUGUGGUGGAAAGUUUUUCGGUGUGGGAUGAGCUCGCGGCCUAUCAGCUUGUUGGUGGGGUAAUGGCCUACCAAGGCGUCGACGGGUAGCCGGCCUGGGAGGGUGUACGGCCACAAUGGGCCUGCGAUACGGCCCAGACUCCUACGGGAGGCAGCAGUGGGGAAUAUUGCACAAUGGGCGCAAGCCUGAUGCAGCGACGCCGCGUGGGGGAUGACGGCCUUCGGGUUGUAAACUCCUUUCGCUAGGGACGAAGCGCAAGUGACGGUACCUGGAGAAGAAGCACCGGCUAACUACGUG